GGCAUGGUUCGUUCCCAUGUCUAGGCGCCA
rnacentral:misc_RNA from 1 species